rnacentral:rRNA from 1 species
UAGUCCACGCCGUAAACGAUGUCAACUAGCCGUCGGGCUCAUUUAAGGGUUUGGUGGCGCAGCUAACGCGCUAAGUUGACCGCCUGGGGAGUACGCCGGCAACGGUAAAACUCAAAGGAAUUGACGGGGGCCCGCGCAAGCGGUGGAGCAUGUGGUUUAAUUCGAUGCAACGCGAAGAACCUUACCUACCCUUGACAUUCUGUGCUACAUCCAGAGAUGGAUGGUUCCCUUCGGGGACGCAGUGACAGGUGCUGCAUGGCUGUCGUCAGCUCGUGUCGUGAGAUGUUCGGUUAAGUCCGGCAACGAGCGCAACCCACAUCCCUAGUUGCCAGCAGUUCGGCUGGGCACUCUAUGGAAACUGCCCGUGAUAAGCGGGAGGAAGGUGUGGAUGACGUCAAGUCCUCAUGGCCCUUACGGGUUGGGCUACACACGUGCUACAAUGGCAACUACAGUGGGUUAAUCCCCAAAAGUUGUCUCAGUUCGGAUUGUUCUCUGCAACUCGAGAGCA